CUUCAAUAGUCCCGUCAAUCGCUUCACUCCCAAGAAGACCCUUGUCCUUGUACAGAGAUGCAAGUGCUUUUCCAUAAUAAUUAGUUAAGAACUUGUAUACCUCGUCCNNNNNNNNNNNNNUUGGUUCCAUCAUUUCUCCGGCCAUGAGAGAGAUAACACGAAGAGCAUAGCUGCUUUGGAGGCCAAAUAAUCUUUGGGAACUUAGGGUCACCAGUUCCAAGAGAUGCUUCUUCCUUCAUUAAUCUCUCAUUUACCAUAUUAUGCGCAUUCCACAACCAAAGGGCAAAGUCACG
rnacentral:misc_RNA from 1 species